CGGGAUGUAGCGCAGCCCGGUAGCGCGUCCCGUUCGGGACGGGGAGGUCGCGGGUUCGAAUCCCGCCAUCCCGA
rnacentral:tRNA from 1 species